ensembl:misc_RNA
UUCCCAGCCCAAGAGAGUGCUGUCCUGUGUUCACCCCACGUACAGCACAGCAGCGGCGUCAAUUCCUCACACACCUCCCACGUGCCUGUGUGUCUCAAAACUAAUCUGGAGGGAGCACACUAAGGAGCAGGCAGGUAGUUUGUUCCCAUGGCCCAUUUGAUCCUUGGCCUCU